UCGGUGGAGGGAGAACGAGGGCCCGGAGGAACGGAGACGGCUAGCGGCGCGACGACGAUGAGUGGGAGGUGCUUCACCGAGCCGUCCCGUUACAUUAUCUGCUGUUAGUCAGUCAGUCGUGCCAGUGAUCCGGACGCGGUAAAAACGAGAAACUUGCGUAGCCGUGGAUUCGGAAAUAUAUCGUUGCUCCUACGAGAAACAGCCAGCCGGUCACGGUGGAAACCGUCGCCAGCCGUCCCCCCGCGAUAUAGUUCUCCACGCGUCUACGGUUCUCCACGGGCUUUCCAUUCUCCACGUUGGAAACUACCGUUUCCAGUUACCGACCGCCGCCAAACCUUUUACCGUGUUUGUGCGAAAAGUGUGCGCUAACGUUACUCGACGUUGACUCGGUUAGCCGGUAGCCGAUCCGGAGAACGAGCAGAGCCCCCUCGAUCGAACGCUCGUGACCGGUAGCGUUUCCACCGAUAGGAAGUCUUGGAUUCGAGAGGGCGGGGGGCGGCGACCAGGGCGGUGGAAUUGGAAAAAAAAGAUAUCGCGAUAGAAAAAUCGUUGACGAAGAUCCAUCGAUCGUACGUAACGAUCGACGUGGUCGUCGUCGUGGUGGUGGUCGUCGUGGUGGUGGUCGUCGUGGUGGUCGUCGGCACGUCGACUCGCGCGAUCGCGCGGAUCGUGCACUCGCGCGCGCGCGCGCGAGUAUCGGAUAGUCACGAUGAAGUGAACGGAUAACGCGGCCGGACGUUCCGCGGCUCUCGACAGUCGUGGCAGUGAAAGUACGUCACCCGGAGCUGUCUCCUCUCAUUCCAGAUUCUUUCUACUUCGGUCCCGAUCCGAGCCAGGCUUCCUCGUUGCCGAAGAGAUCGCGCGACGCGGUCAUGUCUCUCGUUUGAGAUAUCCAGUUAAUCGCAGCGAACAGUGACCGUGACAAAAGUGGCAGCCGAGUGUCUUUGCUCUCUUCUUCUUCCUUCCGCGCUAUCGUUUCGUUUUUUCCUCUCUUUCUCCUUGCCGCUGAUUCACCCACUCUUGGCCGACUGUUGGCCGAUUGUUCAUCGAGUCUCGCUAAGGAGAUCGAUACCGAUCGAGAUACCAUCACCAGUCGACAACGAUGACCGUGAUCAUGGAGGAAACGAACACCUUCGUUACGUGGCCGUCACGUCUGAAGAUCGGAGCAAAGUCGAAGAAAGAUCCGCAUAUAAAGGUCGCGGGUCGACCGGAUGACGUGCGAGCAGCGAAGGAGAAGAUAAUGGAAAUUUUGGACACG